AGAUGUGCCACCCGCUCGCCAUAGGCGCCACCGUGCAGGCUCGGUGAGCCAGGCCGGCGGCGGCGGCGCGGGCGGCGGAGGCGGAUCUGUGUCUCGAUGUGCUCGCUAAGAGCUCCGCGGGGCAGCCGGGGCCCCGCUCGGCUACUGAAAUAGCCGCAGAGGCGCGCGUGGAACUGGCGGAAGGUGAGCUCUGGAGGGUCGGCUCGCAGAGCCAGGCGCGCCUCUUCCCUGACGUCCGCGUCCCCGCCAGCGAUCAUCCCAGCAGCCGGGUUCGUGGAGGCCGCCUCCGCGGAGUUUGCGUCCUCCGUGGCCGUCUCCCCGUCAGCGUUCAGCCCCAGUACCGCGCAGAGCGCACGGAAGUCGGCGCGCGGUAGGCGGCCCGCUCCCCGGCAGUCCAAGUGGUGGAAAACCUCCUGCAGAUACUGAUCCAGACCGGUAGCCAGCACCACGAUCUCAUUCUCCACGCCGCGGUCCAGCCCGUAGUGGUGAGCCAAGGCACUCAGCAGCCACUGAGUGCGCCGCGCAGGUCGCCGGUAUGGGUCACCCGCCGAGCUCUCCAUGCCCAAACCCUGGCGGUUUCUCUCGGCAGAUCGGCGCCUUCAGACAGCCGCCCGCGUCCGCGGAGGGAGGGGCUGGGCGGCCACGGUCAGGCCAGAGAGGCACGGGACCGUAUCCAGGCAGCUGCGUGGACUGUGCAGGACGUCUGUGUUUGUCCCGAUGGGAGGCGCUGGAGCUACGCGCUCUAGCCUUUCCGCUAUUGUCACCAGAGGCUGGAGCGCCUGCGCCUGCUGUUGUGUUCUGCAAUUCCCAGCCCUCGGCCGGCCGUUCUCUGCCUCUUCUCCAGACUGCUUCCUAAGCUCUCCCUCCCUCCUCGUAACUAGAACCGAGGAGGAAACAAACUUGGACGUGGAUGAAGUUAGAGUUUUGGUGAGAGGAAAGUGGUUGUCUACCGCGGCCACCUUUGGGCUCCAGGUGGUUGCUUGGCCUGAGCUCCUUCCGCUGGCUGGGAUGAGAAAUGUAGUAUUGACUCCGUCUGGCGCUUGCCAUGGGAACCUUACCCAGCCAUAUUGGAGCGAAGAGCAAACUCAGCGGCCCUUGACUAUUAGAUAAGCAGAUCUUGUUUUGUGUACAAAUCCCAGUUGAAAAGCAUUAUCAUUUUGUUUCCUCCAUUAUAGCACCCCCGACCAGCACUUUGUCCUUUGUUCCACACACUUCGGGAAGGAAUCAGACAUCCCAAGCAUUUUGGAUAUACAUGUGUACAUAUAUAUGUUAAUUAUAAAACCAAUGGCAAUUUAACGGAAUAAUGUACAAUACCAUACCUUGGCUUCUACCUUGGAAAACCACAUGCACAGCAUGUUCAUUGACCACAUUAUUGAUUAUAAUGGCUAGAAGCUGAUAUUCAGCAGGGGCCCAGGCAGGACAAAUCGUGGAACAGGGAUAAACGAGGAAACACGCUACAGCAGUUAUUGUGACUGUUAUGACUAAUGAAUGGUAUGUGAUAAUAACAACACUGCACAGAACAUUACUGGAUGCUUUCUACAAGGAUGCACAUAAGGAAUGGCAGCCACAGAACAUCUGGUUGCUGUUUCUGGUGAUGGUGAACCCUUUGCUAUCGGUGCACUGGCUCUUUUGCUGAAAUGGGAGAUUGCACUGUAAGAUGUACAGAUCAACAGUUUUUAGUAUGUUACAGUUAUCUGACCACAACUACAGUCUAGUACUUCAAUAUUUCUACUCCCUCCAUCCCCACCCUGCCCUCACCAUGUGCACCCCAAUACUGCUCAGUCUCUAACUUGUCCUUCUGCUAAGGGAAGCGACUACUUUAUGAAUCCAUAAUCUGCUUAUUCUAGAUAUUCAUAUGACUGGAAUCUAAUAGAAGGUGACCUUCUGGGGCUGCAGAGAUGGCUCAGUGGUUAAGAGCACUGGCUGCUCUUCCAGAGGACCUGGGUCCAAUUCUUGUCCCCUCAAGGUGGCUCACAACCAUCUGUAACUUCAGUCCCAGAGAAUCCAAUGCCCUCAUCUGCAUGCACAUGACACAUAGAUAAAUAGAAGCAAAACACCUAUACACAUAAGAUUAAAAGGGGGAAUUUAA
rnacentral:lncRNA from 1 species